rnacentral:rRNA from 1 species
CAGUAGCCGCGGUAAUACAGAGGGUGCGAGCGUUAAUCGGAUUUACUGGGCGUAAAGCGUGCGUAGGCGGCUUCUUAAGUCGGAUGUGAAAUCCCUGAGCUUAACUUAGGAAUUGCAUUCGAUACUGGGAAGCUAGAGUAUGGGAGAGGAUGGUAGAAUUCCAGGUGUAGCGGUGAAAUGCGUAGAGAUCUGGAGGAAUACCGAUGGCGAAGGCAGCCAUCUGGCCUAAUACUGACGCUGUGGUACGAAAGCAUGGGGAGCAAACAGGAUUAGAUACCCGGGUAGUCCCUGUCUCUUAUAC